rnacentral:rRNA from 1 species
AGAGUUUGAUCCUGGCUCAGGAUGAACGCUAGCUACAGGCUUAACACAUGCAAGUCGAGGGGAAACGACAUCGAAGGCUUGCUUUUGAUGGGCGUCGACCGGCGCACGGGUGAGUAACGCGUAUCCAACCUGCCCACCACUUGGGGAUAACCUUGCGAAAGUAAGACUAAUACCCAAUGACGUCUCUAGAAGACAUCUGAAGGAGAUUAAAGAUUUAUCGGUGAUGGAUGGGGAUGCGUCUGAUUAGCUUGUUGGCGGGGUAACGCCACCAAGGCGACGAUCAGUAGGGGUUCUGAGAGGAAGGUCCCCCANAUUGGAACUGAGACACGGUCCAAACUCCUACGGGAGGCA